UUAUUGGAGAGUUUGAUCCUGGCUCAGGACGAACGCUGGCGGCGUGCCUAAUACAUGCAAGUCGAGCGGACCUGAUGGAGUGCUUGCACUCCUGAGGGU
rnacentral:rRNA from 1 species